AGAACUUAGCAGAGAUGCUUUGGUGCCUUCGGGAACUCUGAGACAGGUGCUGCAUGGCUGUCGUCAGCUCGUGUUGUGAAAUUGUUGGGUUAAGUCCCGCAACGAGCGCAACCCUUUAUCCUUUGUUGCCAGCGGUCCGGCCGGGAACUCAAAGGAGACUGCCAGUGAUAAACUGGAGGAAGGUGGGGAUGACGUCAAGUCAUCAUGGCCCUUACGAGUAGGGCUACACACGUGCUACAAUGGCGCAUACAAAGAGAAGCGACCUCGCGAGAGCAAGCGGACCUCAUAAAGUGCGUCGUAGUCCGGAUUGGAGUCUGCAACUCGACUCCAUGAAGUCGGAAUCGCUAGUAAUCGUGGAUCAGAAUGCCACGGUGAAUACGUUCCCGGGCCUUGUACACACCGCCCGUCACACCAUGGGAGUGGGUUGCAAAAGAAGUAGGUAGCUUAACCUUCGGGAGGGCGCUUACCACUUUGUGAUUCAUGACUGGGGUGAAGUCGUAACAAGGUAGGCGUAGUGCU
rnacentral:rRNA from 1 species